CUUACUGGAGGUUUUGGCUCUGCGUGAGUGUGGUCUACGAGCUGUUUCUCAUCUUUAUACUCUUCCAGACUGUCCAGGACGGCCGGCAGUUUCUAAAGUAUGUUGACCCCAAGCUGGGAGUCCCACUGCCAGAGAGAGACUACGGGGGAAACUGCCUCAUCUACGACCCAGACAAUGAGACUG
rnacentral:misc_RNA from 1 species